UACGAAGGGGGCUAGCGUUGCUCGGAAUCACUGGGCGUAAAGGGUGCGUAGGCGGGUUUUUAAGUCAGGGGUGAAAUCCUGGAGCUCAACUCCAGAACUGCCUUUGAUACUGAAGAUCUCGAGUCCGGGAGAGGUGAGUGGAACUGCGAGUGUAGAGGUGAAAUUCGUAGAUAUUAGGAAGAACACCGGUGGCGAAGGCGGGUCUCUGGGCCGAUACUGACGCUGAGGAGCGAAAGCGUGGGGAGCGAACAGG
rnacentral:rRNA from 1 species